AUUGAACGCUGGCGGCAGGCCUAACACAUGCAAGUCGAGCGGAUGAAGGGAGCUUGCUCCUGGAUUCAGCGGCGGACGGGUGAGUAAUGCCUAGGAAUCUGCCUGGUAGUGGGGGAUAACGUCCGGAAACGGGCGCUAAUACUGCAUACGUCGUGAGGGUGAUAGUGGGGGAUCUUCGGACCUCACGCUAUCAGAGGAGCCUAGGUCGGAUUAGCUAGUUGGUGGGGUAAAGGCCUACCAAGGCGACGAUCCGGAACUGGACUGAGAGGAUGAUCAGUCACACUGGAACUGAGACACGGUCCAGACUCCUACGGGAGGCAGCAGUGGGGAAUAUUGGACAAUGGGCGAAAGCCUAGUCCAGCCAUGCCGCGUGUGUGAAGAAGGUCUUCGGAUUGUAAAGCACUUUAAGUUGGGAGGAAGGGCAGUAAGUUAAUACCUUGCUGUUUUGACGUUACCAACAGAAUAAGCACCGGCUAACUUCGUG
rnacentral:rRNA from 1 species